rnacentral:misc_RNA from 1 species
GAUGAAGAACGCAGCGAAAUGCGAUACGUAAUGUGAAUUGCAGAUUUCAGUGAAUCAUCGAAUCUUUGAACGCACAUUGCGCCCGCCAGUAUUCUGGCGGGCAUGCCUGUUCGAGCGUCAUUUCAACCAUCAAGCGCCUCGCUUGUGUUGGGGCCCUGCGGCUGCCGCAGGCCCCUAAAUCCAGUGGCGGGCUCGUCGUCGUACCGAGUGCAGUAAACAUCCUCGCUCAGGGAACCCGACGGGUGCCGGCCGUGAAACCCCCCCUCCUCAAGGUUGACCUCGGAUCAGGUAGGAAUACCCGCUGAACUUAAGCAUAUCAUAAGCGGAGGA